UCCCUGGUGGUCCAGUGGCUAAGACUCCGUGCUUUCAGUGCAGGAGGCCAGGGUUCGAUCCCUGAUCAGGGAA
rnacentral:tRNA from 1 species